AACUGUCUUCACACCCCACAACUAUUGUCACUCUUAGCUUCUUUUCUGAAUCGCUUCCUCUUCCCCAGUUUGGGCUGUCUUCAUUUCCUCUGCCCUCCCUCUCCUGCUCUUUAUCAUAAUUGACUCUGUUAAGUCCUUCCUUCUUCCUAUUGCCUCAGAGGUGAUGUUCUCUCUGUCCAUUUUCUGAUGGUUCUCCAACACUAACGCUCAAGGCAUUACUUUCUUUUGACCUUUGUCUUUUCUUCUCACAGCAGAGGAGAGGGAAGAAGCUGAACAAAGCCAGAAUCCUCUUUAGCAGGAUGGAAAGACUUACCACAAGUGUUUCUGCACUUUUUUCUGCACUUUUACAGAGGUUCUUCCAUCUGAUCAACUUUAGGCUUCCUCACCUUUCAAAAUGCUGCUCUGGCCACUCAGGUGUGCUGCCUCAGGCUGGUUGUGGGAGCCCGACUCUGCUGAUUCCCCCCGGCUGACCAUACUCCGGGACAGCUUGGCUGAAUAUAGAAUUCUUGAUGUACCCUUUCUUGGUGGAGUGUUCUGCAGGCAUUGUUUAACUGUUUCUGGAAUUUAUAAUUGCUGUGAAGAUUUCUGAAGCCAACAUGAUGUCCUUCCUUUGCAAGAUGCCAGUAGCAAUGUUCUCAAUUAGGACUGAAGAAGUGUGUCUAACACUCUGGAAAACAUAUCUCCCAACCCCCAAAGUGCCGAGUUUCUGUAAAAGAGAGAGAUUCUUCGCUGUCAAAUUCCCUGCCUCUCACUUCACUCCCACAGCUGUGUGUUUGAAUAUGCAGAAGCAAGUGAACCUCCUCUGUUAAUAGCCGGAUUUUGACUUGCCACUCCUGAAAAAAACAAAAGUGCUUGCUCUUUGCUGAUGCACAACUUCACCUGCCAUCUGCACAUGCUCACUCUGGCAGCUCCUCGUGAUCCUUCAACUCACAGGAAAUCCUUAGAGGAAUAAAAAGGACGGGCCCACCCCCACGGCAGAGUGAGCUCCCAGCUGAGUCACAUCAGUGGGAUGAAUGCUGACAUGUGUAUUGACAAGCCUGGUUCAUACUCAAGUGCUCCUGCAGAACGGCACAUGGCUGCUCGGAAGCCUGGCAGCCCCCCGCGUGGGGUGGGAUUCUGCCUUCUCAACUGUUCUCCCAGUUGGAGUGGAAGCCUCCCUUUUUCCCACCAGCCCUUCUGGAGAGAGUGGGGUGGAUGACAGUGAUGAAAGGGAAUACUGAGACCUGGAUGCCAAGAAGACUACCGUAGGAACCUCGCCUUGUGGUCUGCUCACUGCUUCUAUCCACACCAGUCCAAAUGGCCACACCCUGAGUGGCCUGGUCCCAGAGUGGCUGUUUGGACAGCUUGUGUGGUCAUACCAGCCCUUAGUAAGAGACGGCCUGCCAAACCCUGGGAAACUUGGAGUUUAGGUCAAUUUAAUGCCUUCCCACUAGGCCCUGGGAAGAAAGGUGUAGAGUGACGUGCCUUCAUGGCAGCCAGUGUAACUGGUUCCAACAUUUUCUAUUUUUGCCAGAUUGCUUUUCUGACCAACUGCUCUUUAUGAAGCUAUUUUUUUGUAUUGAACCUCAGUUUCAUCUAACAAAAUAGGAUAUGCAUAAAAAGUAAACAAAUGAAAACUCAGUUCAAGAGAGUCUACAAAUCACAUUGUUUACCUAACUGAUUACAUUAAUAUAACUUGACUUUCAUAUUUGUUUCAUACAGAAUGCUUUGACAUAGCCAAGGACCUGUUUUCAAGUUGGAAAUGGGUAAUUAGAGAUUUAGGGCUUUGGACCUGGGCUUUUGGCAUCAUACAGAACUAUGUGUUUAAUGCCUGCUCUGCCUCUUACCCUAUGAUGCUGAUUUGGACUGAUGACUUAAAGAAGAGACAAGCUGCAUUGAGUCUUUGAAGUCCUGCGGGGGUCAUUUUUGACAACUCUCUUCCCUUCGAAGGCUCGUCAUGCUGUAGAAGAGCAUCGCAUCCCCAAAUGUGCUCAGUGAAGCAGGGGCUCGUAGGUGUUGCAUAAAAGGAGACUCUACCAUCAGCCAAGUUUGGGAAACGGCGGGUUAACAAAGAGAAAGCAGCAUGUUUUCUCAGAUCUUUUAACAAGUACCUGGGGAUCUUUUUUUAAAGAUUCUUCAAAUCUUCGUCUGGGACCCUUUUACGGAGCAGGUAGAAGAGCCUCCUGGAGCCAGGAGCUUGUAUCUGAGACCAUCUUCCCCUUGGAAUAUGGCAGCUGACUGAAAAUGAAGUUAACCCUAAUAGCAACCAAAGAUUGGAUAUUUCAUAGAUAGAUCCCAGCUCAAGGGUCACUUUUAAAUCUUGACAAGAAAUGUGCAACAAAGACGUGCAUAUGAAGAAUGGAAAUGGGACACCCUGUAAAGCUGAUUCAUUUUAAACACAAAAGCUAAGGGGUUUCAUUAUCAUGUUUUGCAAGUUUAAUAUCAUAUACGGAGCUUCUAUGAGCCAAAAAGUAAUACAUUUCUAUGUCUGCCAAGGAUAUCCAGCUUCUGGACUCCAGAACCAAAGGAGGCUGUCCUCAAAAAUAUAUCCAUUGGUGAAUCGAGGUGCAACAUGGCCAGUUUGGUGUGGAGAAAGCAAAGCUUGACUUCUCUCAUGGGAACUAAAUCCACGAUCCUAUCCUUUCUAGUCUUAGAUUCUAAUAGAGAUGAACAAUACGAAUGAAUGGUGAUUUUAGAAAUCAUCUUUAAAUUUAUCCCUUUGACAGACAAAUUAAGUGUGGUCCUCUCCCACCUAUCAAUAAUACCUGAAGAGCACACUAUGCUUUCAUCUGGCAGAAUCUUUUGGAAAGUUAUUUGUGUUGUUUUUCCAUUUAUAUAGUUCAAGGUAAAUCCCAACAGGAUUAUAAACCACAGGAAUUUUCAAGCCUACAUAGCCCCUGAUCUUUUCAAUAGCCCCAAGCGGUUCUAGGUGUCCGUGAAGUCAGACUCCAAGUAAUUUGAGAAAUUCUCACUCUGUUCUGAAGAAGAUCUAAAGGCAGUAUAUCAGUUUCUCUGGAUGCCUGGAAUUGAGUCUAAUAAGAGAAGUUUCCUUAUAAAUAACAAUGGGAUUUACUAGUGGCUCAGCAACAAAACCUUUUUUUAAAAUUUUCCAUAGAUACGAUGGAUUUGGAGAGUAUAAUGGAUGAGUCUUUCCCCUUUCCCCUUGAACUAGCUGAUCUUGAUGUGUUUGGCAAUUAGAAUGUGGUACAAGUGAUGCUGCGUAUUGAUACCUCUUGGGACUGUGAGAAGUCCAAGGGGGCACAGAAAGGAUGUGGAGGAGAAGCUAUGUGCUCCAGUGAAGAGCCCUGGCUGAGCUUCUGACAACGUGUGAGUGAGCGUCUUGGGCUCUAGCUCAGUCUGGAGGAAUGCAGAUUCAGAAGACAGCAUAGGGAGCAGAAGAACUGCCUAGGUGAGCCCUAUUAACCCACAGUAUCUUUAGGGAUCAAAUAAUGAUUGUAGUUGUUCUAAACCAUUAAGUUUUAGGGUGGUUUGUUAUACACCAAAACUCAUACAGACAUUAAUACUUUCUCCAAGUUUGCUUUGAGCCUAAUGAUACAUAUUUGUAGUAAGAUGUCUAGCUGGGGAUAGCAUAAUCUAUAGAGAAGUUGAAUCAUUAUGUUGCAUACUUGAAACUAAUGCAACAUUGAGUCAAAUAUACUUAAAGAAAAAAGUUAAGUUAGCUGGGAGAAGGUCUGUUUUUGAAAUGUUUUUUCUUAAAUGUAAUUGUUUUGAGUGGAUAAAAAUCAAGGUUAGGGCUAUGGUGGUAAAACCAUUAAAUCACUGGGAAAGGUGAGGUCUAAUGUAAAGGCAAUGACUGGUGUUGGGGAAGAGGUAUCUGUGUUGGGGGGAGGCUACCUUCGUAUCAUCUGGACACUAUAACAUGCCAGUGCCUCCCAUGGGAAGCUCUUGGACUUCAAAAUUCUGCCUAGUGUUUUUUUGAACUGCAUGAGUAAAUCUUCAUUCUUUUAUUAUUUUCAUAUUGAAUUAGAAGCUGUUUUACAUAAGUAUAAUUUUCUUCAGCAUCUGUUGAUUUUUUUGGACCAUGAAAUUUCGGAGGAAAUUAAAAGCAUGAAGGCUUGCAUGGCAUACUGCUGAGUUCUGCAAGUUUGAAAUAAAACUUUAUCUAAUUCUGUCACAAAAAUCUGCUUUUUAGACAUAAGGCCUGACAAGCUCACAUUACUCACAUUCACAUUUGUGAUUGCCACCUCACUCUCCUCCUGAGAUGAUUCUGUUUCUCACCAGUUUUAUGGGCCAGUAGAAAAUGCAUUUGCCAGUAGCCUGGGUCAGGUGCCAGCUGCUUUUGGGCUCCUUUGAUUGCCAUGUCCCUUCUGGAGAGGACAAGUGCCAAGGAAGUAGCAGGAGUCAGAAAUGAGUCAAGGUCAGGAGACAAUAGCCAUGGCAUCAACCCUUAUGGAAAUUAGCAGAGUUCACUGUAGGAUGCAGGAAUUAGGGACAAAGCCAAGAACUUGACCAGAACCAUUCAGGCUGGUGUUGAAUUUUAGGGCUGUUAGUUCUCUAUUUAUCCCAUGGCAAAGCAGUUAGAUCCUGGGAGAAGGAACUGGUUUUCUUCUAGAAAGUGGGUAUUUCUGUACUUACUUAGGAGUAAGAGUGAAAGGCCAGAUCUCAAUUAUGUGGGCUGGUCUUUGGUGGAGGGCCCUGAGCCAAAGGUGCCAGUGCUAAAGUACUAGAUGACUGAAGGACAGGUCAUAAAGGGAGGUGAGGAGAGCAAGCCCAUGGAAGCAGGCAGAGAGCAAGAAUGCAACCGAUCUUGAAGGGAUGGCAACAGAGAGUUCAUGUUUGGGAAGCCAAGCUUAGAACGAUUCUUGGAUGCAAACUAUACAAAUGAUGGGAGAUUCUAAAAUGUUAUCUGCAGUCAAAUGUUUGGGAAAGGAGAGAGCAAUAACAAACAUCAGGAAGAUCCUGCAUUAAAAAUCAAGAGGCCGGCAACAGAGACCUAAUUUAGAAGCUAAGUCAUUUCAUACCAAGAAAUAAAUGACAAAAUGACAGGCUGGGUACAAUCAAGUGGCUGUAUUGUGUCCACAGUUGACUUUGCAUGUCCACUUACAACCAGAAUAUGUACUGUGUUCCACAUGGAUGAGCGUCUGAGAUGACUAGACUCUAGAUUAUGUAUUCAAAAUUUAAACCGAGUUUCACCUUUGUUGUCAUUGGAAUUUUCCUAUAUCUAAGAUCACAUUUAGCUGUGACUUGCUAUGCUUCUUUUACUUCAGUCUUGAACUUAUGAGUCAGAGUUUAUUUUCAUGGUUGGGCUGCCUGUCAACCUUUAGUCUAUGAGAAACUAUUGGAAAGCCAGGUAUCUUUGGUUAUUGACAUUAAAAAUGUGGGAGCAACUCU